rnacentral:ncRNA from 1 species
UGAUAUGCUUAGGGGCGUCAAGGUCGGCCAGCGAGACGAUCAGGGAUAACCUUCAUCGUCGAUUGUCAGGGGGAAACACGAAACAACCCGGGUCACCGGCUAAGGCCCCUAAUUCACCGCUUAUGAUAAAAGUGGUGGGUGCAAAGCCAGCCAGAAGGUUUGCCUAGAAGCAGCCACCCUUUAGAGAAUGCGAGAUAGCUCAUUGCUCGAGCGCAUGAAGAUGAACUAGGCUAAGCGUUCUGCCUAAGAUGUGAUGUGGGAUGUCAAAAUGCAUCGGUAA